CAAUCUUUCAUUUUGAUGAUGCUUGGAAUUCGUAGUUGAAAAUUGCUGAAACAUUUGGUAUCACAUUUCUGUGAAAAUGUUGUGUGUUCAGUUUGGCUGAAAGUAGACAGAAAGAAUGAAUAGUAGUUACAUAAAUAAAUAUAUCACCCCAUGUAGUAGCCAAAUGAAUAAUAACAAAACUAGAACUGAAAUUAAAGGGACACUAUAGUCACCCAGACCACUUCCGCUCAAUGACGUGGUCUGGGUGCCAGGUCCCUCAGGUUUUAACCCUUCACAUGUAAACAUAACAGUUUCAGAGAAACUGCUAUGUUUACAUUGCAGGGUUAAGCCAGCCUCUAGUGGCUGUCUUCCGGUGAACAUCCGGGAGGCACGAUGGUCAUCAUGUGAUGAGCGGGAUGCCGAG